UAUGUAAUGUGCCAGCCGCCGCGGUAAUACGGAGGAUGCGAGCGUUAUCCGGAUUUAUUGGGUUUAAAGGGUGCGUAGGUGGUGAUUUAAGUCAGCGGUGAAAGUUUGUGGCUCAACCAUAAAAUUGCAGUUGAUACUGGCGACCUUGAGUGCAACAGAGGUAGGCGGAAUUCGUGGUGUAGCGGUGAAAUGCUUAGAUAUCACGAAGAACUCCGAUUGCGAAGGCAGCUUACUGGAUUGUAACUGACGCUGAUGCUCGAAAGUGUGGGUAUCAAACAGG
rnacentral:rRNA from 1 species